rnacentral:rRNA from 1 species
UACGUAGGUGGCGAGCGUUGUCCGGAUUUACUGGGCGUAAAGCAUGCGUAGUCGGCUUUUUAAGUCGGGUGUGAAAUCCCCGGGCUCAACCUGGGAAUUGCAUUCGAUACUGGAUAGCUAGAGUUCGGCAGAGGGAAGUGGAAUUUCUGGUGUAGCGGUGAAAUGCGUAGAUAUCAGAAGGAACAUCAGUGGCGAAAGCGACUUCCUGGACCAGAACUGACGAUCAGGCACGAAAGCGUGGGGAGCAAACAGG